rnacentral:lncRNA from 10 species
CAGGCGUGUUGGGCUCCCUGGCUCAGCUGCUGCCGGUAGACGCUCCCUGGAGCCCUGGCUCAGGUCCUUCCCAGAGAGGCAGGGCUGGGGCUCUGCUGAGCCUCCGCUGUACCCGGGCCCCCGAGGUCCUGCUCCUGGCUCGCGUGGCCACUCUUGACAUGGACUCUGGGUCCCGCAUCCCUGCUCCCAGCACAGCAGGGCUCAGGCAGCAGGAGGAGUGGUGGUCCAGGCACUGCCUAUCAGGCAGGGCGAGUGUCAGCGGGGAAGCGCCACACGGGAUGAGAACAGAGGCUCCGGUAGCCGGGCGGGGGGACGGCUGGGCGUGGUGGGGCAGGCAGGCCGUGACCCGGGCUGUUCCGCAUCCUCCCGGUGCUUCCUGUGCUCACAAGCUGCCGCUUUAGAUUCUCCCGGAAAGUCUCCCUGAGGGGGCUGUGGAACCCCCGUUCCCCUAGCGGAAGCUCGACCAGCAGCCCCAGUGUCCUCAUCCCCACUCCGCAGAUUCAUGCUGCUCCUGGCCAGCCGCCACCCUGAGCAGUUGGACUGGGACGUCUAUGACCGCAUCGACAUGAUGUUUCACUUCCACCUGCCCGGGCGGGAGGAGCGGGAGCGCCUGCUGAGAUUGUAUCUCUACAAGUACAUUCUUAUGCCGGACAUAAAAGGAAAGCAGCCACGGCAUAUGCCUCCAAGGGUGCGGUCCUCACCGAGGCCAAGUUGGAUGCCUGUGUGCGAGACUUUGUCGAGCAGCACCAGCAGAAAA